AGAACGAACGCUGGCGGCAUGCUUAACACAUGCAAGUCGAACGAGACCUUCGGGUCUAGUGGCGCACGGGUGCGUAACGCGUGGGAAUCUGCCCUUAGGUACGGAAUAACUCAGAGAAAUUUGUGCUAAUACCGUAUGAUGUCGAAAGACCAAAGAUUUAUCGCCUAAGGAUGAGCCCGCGUAAGAUUAGCUUGUUGGUGAGGUAAAAGCUCACCAAGGCGACGACCUUUAGCUGGUCUGAGAGGAUGAUCAGCCACA
rnacentral:rRNA from 1 species